AGACAUGGGUGUGUGAGGUAAGCCCUAUUGAAAGAACAGCCUUCCUCAGGUGUUAAUAGCUGUGUGGAUGAGGGAAUUUCAGCAGUUGUGCUUAGCAGAAUGGGUAACACCUGGUGAAAUUCCUGCUCCCAGGCAUCAAAUAAUGUGCUUCAGGCUUGCUCUCCUUUUCCUUCAGCCACUGCAGGUUUGUGGAAGCCUGUCAGAAAAUGUGUUUAAAAAAAAAAACCCAAAGUACCUCAUCUGGUUUUAAAUACUGUAUCACAUAGAAUUGAAUUUCUAAGAAAGAGCAGCCCUUAGAAUUUUUAAAGGCAUCCCUUGCUGGGCAUCUCCUCCACCCACCCCCCCGCUCCGUGUUUUUGGAGGGAAAAAAAGAUCGGUGAGUGUUCUGAGGUGUUUCUGACAGGACUGUAGUAGACAGCAGCUACCAGAAGAGGGACCGGAUGGGAAGCUGUUUGCAUAAAUGGUCUCCCCUUGAUCCAGAGAGCUGCCCAAUGGAAAUCCAUCAGUUAAGUUGCUAACCUCUUCACCCAUCCUUGCUCUUUUACCAUCAGUUUGAGGUCCAUGGGAUUAGCAGAAACCAACACAUAAGGGAUGAAGGUGCAAAGCUGGGGACCCUAGCCUCCUGCGAAGAGCCCACUAAGACUGCUCGCCUCCUCCCAAAGAAGCGCCCGCGGGCCAGUCUCUCUCCUCCGGCAGGUGCGUUCAAGAGAGCAGCUUCGCUUGCCCGUUCAUCCUCACCGGUGGCGCUCCUGACACCCGAGAGCAAACCUGGGCAGGAAUCGUGGGGGUUGCCGGAGUCUGGAUUUCCCUCUUCUGUGGUGACCUUAACUUGGAAGGAUCGCAAGUCUUUCUCUCUUUCCCACCCCCCACCCUCCUCUUUUUUGGCAAGGGCGGAGGGAGAGAGGAGAGGAGGGAGGCCGAGCCGCCGUCCAGCCUUCUUUCGCCUUGCGCUCGGGUUCCUGGCAAGGAAUUCCUCUUUAAAGGCGACUCCGAUUGCUGUGUCAGUCAGUCCAGACAGCGGCGGUGGUGGGAGGAGCUGGGGCUGCCGAUGCCGCCUCUUGCUUUGGAAGCGGCUGCCGGAGAUGCUUCGCGCUGGCGAGCGGAGCGGAGAGGAGCGCGCCCGUGAGCGAGGCAGCAGGCGAGCCGCCGACGGAGAGAGCCAGCCAGGCAGCCGGACGGAGAGCGACCGAGGCGGCGAAGCCCAACUCCAGCAUUGCCUGAGCCGCCGCUAA
rnacentral:lncRNA from 1 species